UACAGAGGGUGCAAGCGUUAAUCGGAAUUACUGGGCGUAAAGCGCGCGUAGGUGGUUUGUUAAGUUGGAUGUGAAAGCCCCGGGCUCAACCUGGGAACUGCAUCCAAAACUGGCAAGCUAGAGUACGGUAGAGGGUGGUGGAAUUUCCUGUGUAGCGGUGAAAUGUGUAGAUAUAUGGAAGAACAUCAAUAACGGCGAAGGCAGUUAACUAUUCUGUCACUGACGUUGAGGCACGAAAGCGUGGGGAGCAAAAAGG
rnacentral:rRNA from 1 species